AGGUUCGAUUCUGGCUCAGGAUGAACGCUGGCGGCGUGCUUAACACAUGCAAGUCGAACGGGGUAUGAUUGAAAGCUUGCUUUGUUCAUACUAGUGGCGGACGGGUGAGUAACGCGUGGGUAACCUGCCUUAUACCGGGGGGCAACAGCUGGAAACGGCUGCUAAUACCGCAUAAGCGCACAGAUAGGCAUCUAUCAGUGUGAAAAAACUCCGGUGGUAUAAGAUGGACCCGCGUCUGAUUAGCCAGUUGGCGGUGUAACGGACCACCAAAGCGACGAUCAGUAGCCGGCCUGAGAGGGCAAACGGCCACAUUGGGACUGAGACACGGCCCAAACUCCUACGGGAGGCAGCAGUGGGGAAUAUUGCACAAUGGAGGAAACUCUGAUGCCAGCGACGCCGCGUGAGUGAAGAAGUAUCUCGGUAUGUAAAGCUCUAUCAGCAGGAAAGAAAAUGACGGUACCUGACUAAGAAGCCCCGGCUAACUACGUGCCAGCAGCCGC
rnacentral:rRNA from 1 species